rnacentral:lncRNA from 1 species
AUUAUAUACAGAUUUUAAGAGAAAAAAAAAAAAAAGCCUACGUACCGAGAGGAAGGACUGACCUCCAACACUGGCUGAAAUGGAGUGUCUCAGUGGUAGUGUGGGGUGUGUGUGUUGCGUGUGUGUGUGUGUAUGGGAGGGCUGUGCUCUCCUGGCACUGAGGUGUGCUUAGGAAUGCACCCAAGUGUGCUACCCUGGGCCUGUUUGCACCACUGUUCUGUAAUAUUCCUGGCUGUUCGUCUGUCUGUCUGUCUGUUUCUGUUGUUUCAAAGGGAAGCAUCAGAGUGAAUGCCCCUCCCCUCCCUGCGCAUGAAGGUCCCUGACUGAUGAUAUGUAUCUACACGUAUAAAGGGAACACUGUCAACUUUCUUACCUUGCUGGCUUCAGGGCAGAGAGGUUUUGGCAAUCACCAUCGAUCCCUUAUGAAACGAUCCCCCGAUUGGAGAGGAGGCCUCCAGAGGAAUUGCUGUAGGGCUGUGGAGAGCAGGUCUCCCUGGCAAUCAUCUUCUACGUCUCUUGGAGCAGAAAUGCAAUUUGCUGCCAUGCUGGCCAGCCUGGUUCAGAGAGCAAAGCACAGAAUGUAAACGAGCCUGAAAUGAUUCCUCCAAACACUUAGUUUGCCUCCUCCUGUAAUUGAUAGUGCAUUAAUAGCUGAGGAGAUGGCGGGGAGCAGGAGUGUCUGCCCACACGAUGCUCGGAAGGGGGGGAGCCACACUGCAGAAAGCACACUUCCAUUUCUUUUGACAGUGUCCCCUUUACUUUUGCUGUGGUUCUCUGCUUUCUGUGUGCUUGGGCCCCUGCCAUUAAGCCAUCCCCGUGCUGAAGAUCUACAUCGGUGCUGAUAAGGGCUGCCUGUGGGACUUCUCACAACAGGGAGAGUGCCCCAGCUACAAAAGAAAACCAAAAUGAGUAUUUAUAUGUGAGCACUCCUUCCUGCCAGGCUGUGUGCUGUUAGCACAACGUGGAGUGGGAGAGCUAAGGAAACAGCAGAACUACUCUUGGUGUCCUGCUUGGUAAAUUCACCUCUCAUCCCUGGUCUGCGAGAUCAUUUUGUUCAUACCUCUUAGCCUUCAUCUUUACUUCUGAGCUACGUAGGAAAACAAAUUAUUUUCCUUCAGCGGUGACAGCAAAAGGAUAUCUUUGCUUUUGAUACUUACAUGACUGCAUCUACAGCUGCAGGGCCUCCGUCAGCCUAGGAGAGAUUAGGAAGGGCCCCAAGGAACAAAAAAGAAGACAGAAAAAGUACUGCCAAGGGGCGUGGGAUAGACCUGGCUGUUAUCCACAGUGUAAGGUAGUGACUGGGAUCUCUCCUAAGCUAGAUAGCACUGCAUUGGCUCCCUAAGCAAGUCAGGUGGCAGACCUGCAUUAAAAAAAACAGCAUGCAUUUUUACUACUUUCUAGGGCAUUUCUCCAGAUUCCCAUUAGCAGCCACAUGAGGGAAAGAGGGACUGUGCACUGGGUGGGAUGGGGGGUGCCCAAGUAAGCAAUUAAUAAAUGCUUUCUCAUCUUACCCAGCCCGGUAGGGUAGGUGACAUGCAAGGCACUCAGUCUCCACCUUUGUCGAGAACCUUUGUUCAGAAGCAGGACAUGUCCACUCCUAGAUGGCAGGAAGGAGUCAGCUGUGUGUUCCCACAAGAAAUGGUGCAGGUCUCAUGUGUCCGUUGGUCUCUAGCUCGAAUUGGCACUGAAAGAGAAGGGGACAUAAGGGUGAGUGAGUGUUUUUUUGCAUCUUAGUAUAGCAGGAAUCCACACAGCUGAGGAAAACCCUCACAAGCUCCAGCUUAUGCAGCCCAACCAGGGCAAGGUACUGCCAUUAGAAGUAACCUUCAGUCUCCCAGCCUGCCUCAUAAUUAAAUGACCAAAUGCUAGAAACAGCAUGACAUAGAGAAGAAGACUAACAGGUUACUGAAUGCUCUUAAAAGACUCUGAAAGCAAGGUACAAUUGGCAAUGCCUUGGGAACUAGGGAGUUACUUGUAUUGAUGACUGUUUGAUUUCGUGCUGCUGACUACUAUGCUGCUCCCUGACUUCUUCCAGGGGUGCUGCUGAAAUGGCUGCUAUACAACAAAUCUGAGCUGCUAGAGCCUGAGAAGGGCAUUCUGCUGCUCUCACCUUGGGACCAAGGGGCCCCAGUUCCCUGCUGCUGACUUGCCACACUGGCUGAGAUGCCCCUUCGCCACUCCUGUGUUGCUAAGCACAGAAAAAUGCUUUGCAGCCCAUCUUCCCCACUUUUGGUAUUUAAUUCCAUAGAGCAGGAAAAAAAUAAAGAGAGAGGAAGGCCUAUGUUUGCUGCCUUGCCCUUGCCAGAAAAGAAGAAGCAAGAGAAAGAAACCUGGAAUGUGGGUCUUGGCAGCAUGGCCAGCAAACUUCUGUACAUACACAAACAGAACCCAGCAGAGGACAGAAAACCCACGUGUCUGAAAAGGUCCAAAAUAAAUGCCAGUAGCUAGAGCUGGCUGCUUACCAAGCUGACAUUCUCUUGCUGGUUAUGGAGGCAAGAAAUCCCUUUGCUCGCAUGUGCAUCCUCCUUCCUCUGCAGCAUCUCUGCAGACUGCGGUCACGUUGGGUUCUGGAUGUUCCCACUGGUACAGCUUCCUUGGGCUUGGCCUUAGAGACAAAUUAAUGUGAGGUUGCACACAGGCAGCUGUAAAAGUAUUAAGCACUACUAUUCAUUUUGCCUGCAUGUUAAACUGGGUUUAACAUGUCUGACAGAAAUAAUCUGUCCAGCAAGUGGAGCUGGGUUUGGAUUUGCUGAAUUUUGGCAGCUACAAAAGAGACUGUCAAAGAAACAUGGCUCCAGCCAAACGUGCACAUUCAUGCCAACAGAGAGUAACCUAAUUUGUGCCAAGUAAGAUGCUACCUAUCAGCAGGAGGGAGAUGACAAAGCCAUCUUGCCCGUUAGUCUAUAUCACCUGCUUCUGUAGGAGAAGAAUGCAUCACUAAUCCUAGCUUGACAGAAUUUUAAUAAAUACAUACCUUCUAAUUGGGUUAUGGCAUCUGAGAUGAGCUCAAGGUGAAUUUGAGCACUUUUCCCAUCAGACAGACCGUUUGUUUCAGAAGCUCACUUGGGUGUAGAUGGGGACAUACUUCAGCCUGCUCAUCCCUCAGCACAAAACUACCUAGCCUGCACAAAUAUGCUUUUCCCCACCUUUAUAGGAGCCAGUAGAAAGUUCAUUUUCCAAUUAGCAACUGGGAACACUUAGUGCCAGUACUUAAGAUGAGACCUUUUGGAUAUGCUCUGCAGUGAUUUCUGUGCAGACACAGAGGCUUCACAGUGUGCUGAGUGCAGUCCCUCCUUGUCCCAUGGCCCUUAUCCCUCUUCCUUUCCUGCUAGCUUUGCCUUCUCAGAUCUGUAUUUCAGAAGCACCUGAAGAGAGGGGACAGAGAGGGCAGCCUGCAGCUUGCACCCUAUCCAGCACCAGGAAAGAGCUCCAGGCUGAGGUGGUUCUCUCCAUACUACUCAGAGUGGGAAAACUUUUGAGGCUCUUCUUCCUCCUGGGUUCAUUUACAUAGAGUUCAUUUACAUCAAGUUAGAAAGCAAGUUCACACGUAUGACAAACCCCUCUGUGAAUGCUGGUCCCCAGGCCUACUGCAGUGAUCUGGGAAGAGGCUCUGACCCCAAAAGGUAUUCCUUUAUAACGUGUGGCUAACUAACAUGCUGAGUCCUACUCUGCUGCCACUGUGAAGAGGCCAUGCUCUCAAGAGUACUUCUCUACAAGAACAUCCCUAGUGCAUUUCUAUGCUUGCUCCCAGGUGAGGUAUGUACCAAACUACCCAUUUUCCAGCAUACAAUCAGGUAGCUCUCUAUCUGAGUUUCCUUUUCCCAACCAGGAUAACAGGCUGACGACUUUCUAAUUUAAAAGCUAGGAAUUUCUGGUUCCACAGAACACUGGAAGUGGCACAGAGCUGAAGCUGCAUUGCUCAGUGCUCGCAGCACUGCUGGCUAGGGGCAGGAGGGGCAAUUCUGAUCCCUGUGCUUUGCACCCUCCCCUGCACGAUUCUCUUUGUGCCAUAAUACGUUUCUUUUUUAGAUGUGCACACUGGCCAAAUAAUAUCCUCAUGUCUUUAUUGACUGCCGACUGAGAUUAUUCCCUGACCUAGCCAGACAGCAUGGGCUUCAACCCUCUGCAUGGAUCCUGGUGGGCCAUGCUCCCCUCUCCCACACGUUUUGCAGGGCUUGCUAUGGCUUUUCCCUCUCCCCACACACCUCUGCUGCCGGACAAUCAUUCCCUUUGUCAUGGAUGGACUGACCUGGUGCUGUCCCCGCUUGCCUUCCCUUGAUGCAGUCUGUACGCCCUUUAAGUGAAUGUGUUUUGUUUGUUUUCUUAUUUUCUUCAGUAGGGAAAAGACUUCCUUCUGCGGAAGGAGUUAUAUUUGCACAUGGCUCAGGGAGGUACCUCCUCUGGCCGUUUCUGUUACCUCACUCAUGUAGGCCAAUUCCAUUGCUAACGUUAAAUGGCCACCCUUCCCCAACCCAAACUCCAAGAAUCGUUAGGGAAUAAAACAAAUGUGCAGCUCAGGUUCUACAGCCGCUUGGUCGUGUCUCAGUCUUGGCCCAAAUUGCCCCAGCAGUGUAAGGAGGUGGGAGAACGGCUGUUGCAAAGCAGCUCUACCCAGCAAAGAGGUGGAGCCUGCACCACACACGUGCAUUCCAGUCUUUGCAAGCCCACCUCCCUUGGGAUAGCACUUCGCAGAGCAGAUACAGCAGCACUAACCUGGCUCUUGGCCCGACGAGCUCAGAGCAGAGGGAGGAGCAGCAGAACCAUCGCAGCGUACAUCUCUGACCACCAGGACUGGCACUGUGUGGCUGUGGCACCUCUGGGACAUGGUCACUCUCACUGCAGUUCAUCUCAUCACGCGCUCCAGGGCUGGGUAAAGCUGCUAUAAACACCCUGGAGUGUGUUCUGCCCACCUGAGCCCCACAUCCUGCAACCCCGAUCGCUGCCGCAAUUGCAGAUUAAUGAGGAUCUCCUCGUGUCAGCAAGGCGAGGGAACGGUCAUACAGAAACCCAUGGGUGUGCAUUCCCCUUCUGGAUUUCAGCACCAGGGCCAGGGAAGCAGAGGGCUGUUGGCCACAGCCUGCAGCACCGCCAUGAACUUCAGGGUGGGCUGGGGGAGGACCCGUGGUUUUGUUUUAGGAGUUGUUGAACUGUCAUCAGGUUUGCGCUGUGCGCAAAACGCGAGGAAAUGAUGAUGAAACUUACCUGCUAGAACCUAGGAAUUGUAAAGGCUAUGCAGCCAAAACUCCAUGUAAGUAGCUAGUACAAUGGAAGUACGGUAUAAAUUAAACAGAAGUCUAUCAAACAACAGUGUGACUCGUGAGUGCUUUGUUACUUUUAUUGUCCUGCCUGCUUCUGGUCUUUUCUGUCAUUUCCAAAUACACAGAGAGGGUCUCUUCAGGUACCAACCAGGACCGUCUCUCCCAGGACAUAAACCUGCCUUUAAUGCUGCCCUUGAAAUAAACCAACUGUUUUUUUGUUUUUUUUUUUCACUGUGGGAAUCCUGAGCAAAAUUUAGACACCAUUUUCCCAUCUAGGACAACACAGGGCAAUAGGCAUAUGCAGGAACUGGAAAAGUGAAAGAUGUGUCCAAAAAGCAUCUAAAUGUGUAAAAUACCACAAGGUGCAGGACUGCGGGACAGCCCUUCUUUUCCACCCGAGGUAGCUCUCAAGACAGUUUGUUUGCUCCUCUUUUUUUUUGUUUCUUUUUGGCUCAACGUUGUACCAUCAGGUUAUCAGCACUUCAUAAGGGCUGGGAGGAACACGGCUGAAGUGGGAGGGGGGUUUCUGUGACCUUACCUAAAAAUCACCCUGGGUGUUAGUGCCAUGAUCAGCGACGGAAACUGCAGGGACAGCUCCUCUGUUGCUGUGGAUCUAGAGUUAGGAUUAUGCCCCCAGGUGCCCUGAGGCCAGGCAAGAUGGCCUAGGGAAAAUGAAGACACCCAGCAGAAUGAAAGGAGGAGGUAUUUGGGGAUAUCAGAGUUUAACGUGCCCAGACUACAAGCGUGCUUCAGCUGCAAAAUGUGCUCAGGUUGCCAGACUCAGCUCUGUGAAGACUGCAUCAUAACAAUGGGCUGAAGUUGAAACUUGCUCUUAAAGAAGGAAUUUUGAACCACGGCCAGUUAGAAAUCCGUCCUGGACUUACAAAUGGAGACAUCUCUAUGAUUUUUAGCAACACAAACUGCAGCAGAACAUAAGCAGGGGAAAUCCCGUACGUAAGAAGCAUGCCUUGAGAUUCACAAGCACUUCAUAGUAUUUAGAAGCAGUCAGUGUAGCAAAACUUGUCAGCUCUUGCAAGCAAUAAAGGCUCCAUUGCAGCAGGGAUGCAGCAACAUCUCCCAUAUGAAAAAACCCUCAAUCUUUCCCCACUUCAUCCUAAAGUCCAACUCUACCCUGGCCAAUGUUUCUGCCUGGUGUUUCCUCAUAAUCCUGUUGGUUGCGCUCAACUGAUCUAUGUUUGAAGCCAGCAAACUAAUUGCACUCUGCUUAAGCCACUAAGAUUUAGAAGGAAAAUUUGCAUAGGUACCAUUGAAUUUACAGUGUAUUUCCUGUGCAGAAAUGUGUCAUUUACAAUGAAUACUGACUAUUCAAAUUGGUGACUAAUCACAAAACAGAAUUACUACAGACGAGGACAAAUUAAGCAUCUUCUCUCUAUUCCUCUAGGUGGUGCUGCAAUAUAGUAUAAGAAGACCAUCACAAUUGCAAGUAUUAUUUUACAAAGCUGUGUCCCACUCAGAGGGCUAUGCAUCCUAUUUACUUUGCUUGCCUGUUUGCAUCCAGCUGUCUUCCUUUCAUAGCAUCCCCCAGAAACAGGUUAAAAGCAUACCUUGUCUUACUGGCUCCCCUGUGGUUGCUGAACACGGCUCCACAGGUUAUUCCUAUCAAUGUGUCUCUCUGUAUGCUUGAGGAGUAAACCUGCUGCACAAGGCAAAUAGAAGGAACUAAGAAAUUCAACUCUUGCUAAGUGAAAGGGAGGGGACAGGGAAUUCUUAUACUUACGUUAUACAGUCUCCCAAAUUAGGAGUACUUCAGGAUUUAUAUUCUCAGCUCCCUCCUUCAGAAGCAGGUGUGACCAUAGCACAGGGACUCAUCUUCCUACUGCACAUUUUUAUCUGUUUUAAUGCAUUUAUAGUUCUUAUGCUACUCUACGUCUGCCCUGGCAGCCCAAAGUCCAAAGGAACUUACUGAGCAACAACUACACUAAUUAAACUCUUCCUGUUUAACACCUAUAGUGACUUCUUGGGCUGUGGUGGAACAUCAUCACCUUAAGAUGAAGAUAUUCCCAAUCCUGCAGGUCAGAGUAACAGUACACAUACCCUUUAUGUCUGCAAUGGAGAACUAGCAUAUUUUGCAAAUAAAGGUGGUGGUGACAGCAGCUAAGAAAUGACAUUAACAGUUACAAAGCCAUUAACGUGAUGAUGGAACUGAAACUUGGGAAGGAGCCGUGCUGCCCGCACCCCCUGUGCCCUUUGCUCAGCAUGCUUCAAAAGGAGAGUCCUUUAACAAAUGGGCUGGCAGCUCAGAAUGGAGUCAUGAGGCCAAAGUCAAGGCUGUACAGAGUCCAAGGCAAAUGGAAGAGAAUUUACACUUCCCCGUAUUUCCUCCCGAUGUUGUAGAGCUCCCCCUCAAACCUGGCUGGCAUGACGUGGUCCUUCUGUCUUCAGAGCCCCUGCAAGUGAGAGAAUUCCCCAUGGAGUGCAAGUCAUUGGAAUGUACUCAAGUAAGGGUCAUGGCACAAUCAGCACAAUGCCUGAAGGGAUCUAGAUUCCAGUCUUUUGCACACAGAGUCCUCCCAUAGUGAAUGUUUCCUUUGGAGACAGUGUCAAUCCUCCUGCACACAGCUCCCUGACUGCAGGGGACAGUCACUAUGUCCAACUCCAGAGGAUUAGGUAAAGGAGGAGUAAUUAAAUCACGGCCUGAAUGCCACCAUUCAACGAUACCUAAAUUGCUUCUGAGGUCACCAUGGAAGCUCCAGACAAGGGGGAAAAACUCCAGGAAUCUCUCCUCUGCCAUCUCUCCAGCACCACAUAAUCCUAACCCACAGCAGUAAGGCUGAAGGGUGGACAGGCACAAGCAGCAAUUCACUGCUCUCCCAUCACUUACCUCGGUGCUGUGCACUCUGCAGACACCUCUCUGCUAUUCCUCCAC